rnacentral:rRNA from 1 species
UAAAGAAUUUCGGUCAUCGAUGGGGAUGCGUUCCAUUAGCUUGUUGGCGGGGUAACGGCCCACCAAGGCAUCGAUGGAUAGGGGUUCUGAGAGGAAGGUCCCCCACAUUGGAACUGAGACACGGUCCAAACUCCUACGGGAGGCAGCAGUGAGGAAUAUUGGUCAAUGGGCGCUAGCCUGAACCAGCCAAGUAGCGUGAAGGAUGACUGCCCUAUGGGUUGUAAACUUCUUUUAUAUGGGAAUAAAGUGCAGUAUGUAUACUGCUUUGCAUGUACCUUAUGAAUAAGGAUCGGCUAACUCCGCGCCAGCAGCCGCGGUAAUACGGAGGAUCCGAGCGUUAUCCGGAUUUAUUGGGUUUAAAGGGAGCGUAGGCGGGUUGUUAAGUCAGUUGUGAAAGUUUGCGGCUCAACCGUAAAAUUGCAGUUGAUACUGGCAUCCUUGAGUACAGUAGAGGUAGGCGGAAUUCGUGGUGUAGCGGUGAAAUGCUUAGAUAUCACGAAGAACUCCGAUUGCGAAGGCAGCCUGCUGGACUGUAACUGACGCUGAUGCUCGAAAGUGUGGGUAUCAAACAGGAUUAGAUACCCUGGUAGUCCACACAGUAAACGAUGAAUACUCGCUGUUUGCGAUAUACAGUAA